GGAGGAAAAGAAACUAACAAGGAUUCCCCUAGUAGCGGCGAGCGAAGCGGGAAGAGCUCAAAUUUAUAAUCUGGCACCUUCGGUGUCCGAGUUGUAAUCUCUAGAAAUGUUUUCCGCGUUGGACCGCACACAAGUCUGUUGGAAUACAGCGGCAUAGUGGUGAGACCCCCGUAUAUGGUGCGGACGCCCAGCGCUUUGUGAUACAUUUUCGAAGAGUCGAGUUGUUUGGGAAUGCAGCUCAAAUUGGGUGGUAAAUUCCAUCUAAAGCUAAAUAUUGGCGAGAGACCGAUAGCGAACAAGUACCGUGAGGGAAAGAUGAAAAGCACUUUGGAAAGAGAGUUAACAGUACGUGAAAUUGUUGGAAGGGAAACGCUUGAAGUCAGACUUGCUUGCCGAGCAAUCGGUUUGCAGGCCAGCAUCAGUUUUCCGGGAUGGAUAAUGGUAGAGAGAAGGUAGCAGUUUCGGCUGUGUUAUAGCUCUCUGCUGGAUACAUCUUGGGGGACUGAGGAACGCAGUGUGCCUUUGGCGGGGGUUUCGACCUCUUCACACUUAG
rnacentral:rRNA from 1 species